rfam:Chlorocebus sabaeus isolate 1994-021 chromosome 14, whole genome shotgun sequence.
AGAGGUGAUCUUUUCCUCACUAAUCCAAGUAUCUGUCUUCCAAAGCUGUGUGCUUGGUGGAAGAGAACUACCUUUGCAGUUAAGAACAACUUUUCCCUAGUCUGGGGGGGAAAAUU